GGAGGAAUGUAUAGCGAAAGCUAGUUGCAUUAACUAACUGUUAAUGCAGCAGCGACUAUGUCGUGUAAAGUUCAGGAUAGAGUUAUGAUAAUGACAUUUUCUAUCUGUGUGUCUCGACCAAACUACGUGCCAGCAGUCGCGGUAAUACGUUGGAGACUAGUGUUAGUCGUCUUUAGUAGGUUUAAAGGGUACCUAGACGGUCGUUUCAGCCCCUAAAGGGUACUGUUUGACUAGAGUUUUAUGAGAGGGGGGGUGUACUAAUGGUGUAGAGAUGAAAUUCAGUGAUACCAUUACGAACAGGCAACAGCGAAGGCAACCCUUUAUGUGUAAACUGACGUUGAAGGACGAAGGCUUAGUCAACCAACAGGAUUAGAUACCCUAGCAGUCUGAGCAGACAAUGAUGAAUGCCAUAGACUGGAAGCAAGUAAAAUAAUAAAAAAUUAUUUUAUUAUAUUUUAGUCUAUAAAUGAAAGUGUAAGCAUUCCACCUCAAGAGUAACGCGGCAACGCGGAAACUGAAAUCAUUAGACCGUUUCUGAAACCAGUAGUGAAGUAUGUUGUUUAAUUUGAUAAUCCGCGGKACACCUUACCACAAUUUGUAUGUUUAGUAAUAAAUACMAGAGUUGCACGGCUGUCUUCAGUUAAUGUCGUGAGAUUUUGGUUAGUUCCAUUWAAUUAACGUAAACCCYUACUUUAUUUUAGUAAAUA
rnacentral:rRNA from 1 species